CUAGCGUUGUUCGGAAUUACUGGGCGUAAAGCGCACGUAGGCGGCUUUGUAAGUUAGAGGUGAAAGCCCGGGGCUCAACUCCGGAAUUGCCUUUAAGACUGCAUCGCUAGAAUUGUGGAGAGGUAAGUGGAAUUCCGAGUGUAGAGGUGAAAUUCGUAGAUAUUCGGAAGAACACCAGUGGCGAAGGCGACUUACUGGACACAUAUUGACGCUGAGGUGCGAAAGCGUGGGGAGCAAACAGG
rnacentral:rRNA from 1 species